rnacentral:rRNA from 1 species
GAUGAACGCUGGCGGCGUGCUUAACACAUGCAAGUCGAACGAAGCAAUUUAACGGAAGUUUUCGGAUGGAAGUUAAAUCGACUGAGUGGCGGACGGGUGAGUAACGCGUGGGUAACCUGCCUCAUACAGGGGGAUAACAGUUAGAAAUGACUGCUAAUACCGCAUAAGCGCACAGGAUCGCAUGGUCUGGUGUGAAAAACUCCGGUGGUAUGAGAUGGACCCGCGUCUGAUUAGCUAGUUGGUGGGGUAACGGCCUACCAAGGCGACGAUCAGUAGCCGACCUGAGAGGGUGACCGGCCACAUUGGGACUGAGACACGGCCCAAACUCCUACGGGAGGCAGCAGUGGGGAAUAUUGCACAAUGGGCGAAAGCCUGAUGCAGCGACGCCGCGUGAGCGAAGAAGUAUUUCGGUAUGUAAAGCUCUAUCAGCAGGGAAGAAAAAUGACGGUACCUGACUAAGAAGCACCGGCUAAAUACGUGCCAGCAGCCGCCGCCGUAA